UACGAGGGAUCCUAGCGUUGUUCGGAAUCAUUGGGCGUAAAGGGUGUGUAGGCGGCCAUGUAAGUCAGUUGUGAAAGCCCCGGGCUCAACCCGGGAAGUGCUUCUGAUACUGCUUGGCUUGAGGAUUGGAUAGGGGAGUGGAAUUCCAGGUGUAGUGGUGAAAUACGUAGAUAUCUGGAGGAACACCGGCGGCGAAGGCGGCUCACUGGACAAAUACUGACGCUGAAACACGAAAGCGUGGGAAGCAAACA
rnacentral:rRNA from 1 species